AAGAAAGUGGCAGAGUGGUCAUGUGGCUGGCUUGAAACUAGCCUAUGGGGGUUCGAUUCCUUCCUUUCUUGC
rnacentral:tRNA from 1 species